rnacentral:rRNA from 1 species
AGUGAACGCUGGCGGUAGGCCUAACACAUGCAAGUCGAACGGCAGCACAGUAAGAGCUUGCUCUUACGGGUGGCGAGUGGCGGACGGGUGAGGAAUACAUCGGAAUCUACUUUUUCGUGGGGGAUAACGUAGGGAAACUUACGCUAAUACCGCAUACGACCUACGGGUGAAAGCAGGGGAUCUUCGGACCUUGCGCGAUUGAAUGAGCCGAUGUCGGAUUAGCUAGUUGGCGGGGUAAAGGCCACCAAGGCGACGAUCCGUAGCUGGUCUGAGAGGAUGAUUCGGCAAAAUGGGACCUAGAAACCGGUCAGAACCCUAACGGAGGCAGGAGGUGGGAAUAAUUGAAAAAUGGCGGAAGGCCUAAUCCGCCAUACCGCGGUGGGGAAGAAAGGCCUUCGGUUUGUAAGCCCCUUUUUUUGGGAAAAAAAGCCGCCGGGUUAAACCCCGGCUGUUCGGACGUACCCAAAGAAUAAGCACCGGCUAACUUCGUG